GGUGCAAAGAAGGUCAUCAUUUAGUAGUCAGUCCAUAAAUUCCCAGUCUGUUGGUUCAUCAUUAACACAGCCAGUGAUGUCUCAAGCUACAAAUUUACCAAUUCCACAAGGCAUGUCCCAGUUUCAGUUUUCAGCUCAAUUAGGAGCCAUGCAACAUCUGAAAGACCAAUUGGAACAACGGACACGCAUGAUAGAAGCAAAUAUUCAUCGGCAACAAGAAGAACUAAGAAAAAUUCAAGAACAACUUCAGAUGGUCCAUGGUCAGGGGCUGCAGAUGUUUUUGCAACAAUCAAAUCCUGGGUUGAAUUUUGGUUCCGUUCAACUUUCUUCUGGAAAUUCAUCUAACAUCCAGCAACUUGCACCUAUAAAUAUGCAAGGCCAAGUUGUUCCUACUAACCAGAUUCAAAGUGGAAUGAAUACUGGACACAUUGGCACAACUCAGCACAUGAUACAACAACAGACUUUACAGAGUACAUCAACUCAGAGUCAACAAAAUGUACUGAGUGGGCACAGUCAGCAAACAUCUCUACCCAGUCAGACACAGAGCACUCUUACAGCCCCACUGUAUAACACUAUGGUGAUUUCUCAGCCUGCAGCCGGAAGCAUGGUCCAGAUUCCAUCUAGUAUGCCACAAAACAGCACCCAGAGUGCUGCAGUAACUACAUUCACUCAGGACAGGCAGAUAAGCAACAGUCACAGACAUUGUCAGUAACGCAGCAGCAGCAGCAGCAGCAGAGCUCCCAGGAACAGCAGCUCACUUCAGUUCAGCAACCGUCUCAGGCUCAGCUGACCCAGCCACCGCAACAAUUUUUACAGACUUCUAGGUUGCUCCAUGGGAAUCCCUCAACUCAACUCAUUCUCUCUGCUGCAUUUCCUCUACAACAAAGCACCUUCCCUCAGUCACAUCACCAGCAACAUCAGUCUCAGCAACAGCAGCAACUCAGCCGGCACAGGACUGACAGCUUGCCCGACCCUUCCAAGGUUCAACCACAGUAGCACACGUGCUUCCUCUCUUGACAUCAAGGGAGGAAGGGGAUGGCCCAUUAAGAGUUACUCAGAUGACCUGAGGAAAGGAGGGAAAGUUCCAGCAGUUUCAUGAGAUGCAGUAUUGAGUGUUCUAGUUCCUGGAAUUAGUUGGCAGAGAAAAUGCUGCCUAGUGCUACAGAUGUACAUUAAAUACCAGCCAGCAGGAGGUGAUCAUAGGGGCAUAGCCAGUUCUGACAGUGUUUUAGGUGCCUGGAUAUUUUUUGAUGGAAAAAGAAUAUAUUGCCAAAUAUUAAGAAGCUCAGCUAUGAAAUGACCUCCAGGGAAUCAGAAAGGCACUAAUGAUGUUAGUAACUUUUAGUGGUUCUGUGCCUCUUAUCAAGUGUUACAGAGGACAUACCACUGCCAUGUCAGGGGUUUGCUUACAGUGAUGCCAUGAAGACAGUCCAGUAGACUUGGUAGCGACCCCCUCCCCCAACCCCUCUCCCUUUUCAGAUAAUGAUGGAACAGUAAUUACUUUCAGAAUGUUGUGUGGGUUCAAAUUCUCUAUGUACAGAUGAUGUAAAAAUAUGUAUAUGUCUAGAUGAGAGAAAGCAAAACAUUUUGUAUGCUGCAUGAAAGCGUUAUCUCUUCCUUACAGGUGUGAGCACCUUUCCUGAAAUUCUGACACCAUGUGCAAACUGAUCCAUCCUCUGUUUUUCCUUUUGUUUACAACACAGUAGUGUUCUGUUCACUUUUCCGGGGCACAAGUUUUUUUGUUCAUACUUUGGCUGUGAUGUCACAGUUUGUUCAGUGAGGUAUGAUGUGCUGCUGGGAAUGGAUUUUUUUUUUCAGGUUAAAUUAUUGAUACAACAGGAUUUUCAAGUUAUUCAGAAAUAUCCCUCAUUUCAUUAUUUUUCAAUUAUGUUUGAAAAUAGGAUUUGCACUGCUUUAUUUUAGGUGGUUGGGAGUUUUGAUUGCAUAUUUUGUUAUAGUUCAUAGUUGGAAAUAUUUGCGUAAAUGGUUUUCAACAAGCCUGAAAGUAAUUUCAAGAAUGUUUCAGUUAUAGAGGUAAAAUUUGCACACAAAACAUCUUAGGCACUUUUUAACAUUCUCAAUCAUGGGAAUUUUAACUUUUGGGAUUUGUUGAAAUCUUUUUUAUUAUCCUUCACAAUUUCAAUGCUUCUUUUAGUCAGAAAUGAUUCAGGGUUAUUUGAGGGGAAAAAACCCCAUAGUGCCUUGAUUUUAAUUCAGGUGAUAACUCACCAUCUUGAAGUCAUUGUCCGGUUUCUGUAGCAGUUUUGAAACCUUAGUACCUUUUUAACAGCAUGUGGGUGUCAGUGUCAUUAUUAGUCUCCUAAUAAGUUCCUCUGAAGACUGCUAUCAGUCUCUUGGACUGGAGGUACAAAUAAUUUAGAAAUAAAAGAUGACAACCUAACACUAUCAUAGUUAUUAAUGUGAUCCUAAAAUUGUUUCCUAAAUCAGCAUUUUUCUUUAGUCAUUUAAGAAUUUACCAGAAAUAUUUGCUCAAUAUGAUCUUGAUAUUCCUACAAAGAAAAAAGAAGGGGUAGGGAUUUGGCUAUGCCUUCACUACAUUAGAAUAUCGUAACUCACAUGCCUUCUAAACGUGAACUAAGAUUUCCUUUGGCAAUAUCAUAUUCUAAAAGUAAUAAAUUCCAAUACAAGUUACAUACAUUUAAAAAACAUUUUACAGAUUUUAUGGUACUAACGAAAUUUACAGUGAUAGAACAAAAGAGGAUUAGUAGAAAAUACAUUAUUAGAAUAUAAAAAAUGUUAUUACUGAGGAAAGGGAGGAGAGGACAAGUGUAAUAAAUCAAAAUUGACCUCAAAAGAAAAUGUGUAACAGAGUUGAGGUUGUUAAAACAGAAAAGGUUCUGAACAAUGAAGAUUAACCUAAUGCAGAAUUGCUAGGUAAAGAGGUCAGGGGAAUGCUAAGCCAGUUCUUAAGACUUCUCUGUCCUCUGCUUUGCUGUUAUCCUUAAGGCAUAUACUUUGUCUUUCUGCAGAAAAUUCUACCUGGCUACAAUUACUUUGAACAUUAAUGUUGAAAAAGGAAACAACCAAAGAAAAUUGGUACUUACCCUUCUACAAAAGAAGUGCGACUAGAUAUCAAUCAGUAAUUAACAUAUCAAGGAGCUCUUCUAGCUAAAUGACCAUCCAGUAGAGAUUUCCCACAUUCCCAUGAAUAUCAAGAAUAGUUGUCAGAAUAUGUAUGUACCUGAGCAUAUGUACACAGACAAGGGGGAUGUUGUGGAAUAUGGCAAUAGCAUUGUUCUUCUCCCCUUUCAAAUUGCCUUUCUUGACCUUAUGCCAUUCCAUAUAUAUCUGAGUUGUGCCUCAUUUAUUUAUUGGCAAUACCUAGUGAUAUGGAUUUAGCUAACAAAAGAUAUGAAGAACUAUUAUAUUGAGGCCUGUCCUCUACAUACCACCCUUAAAAGAUGGUGAACUGUGAGUACUACUUAGGUUGACAGCAACAAAGCAUAAGACAAGCCCCAGGUAAACGUCUAAACUGUUUACUCACAUUGUCCUACUCCAGCCCCUUCAAUUAUUUCCCAUCUCCACAAAUAGGGGAAAAAAUUAAAAUUUUCCUUUAUGAUUCUUACUGUUCUUCGCAGCUCAUCUUUUCCUGCUUAGAAUUAACCAUUGCUAAUUUAAAGAAGCAGCUAGCUGCUUUUCUGUCAGUCUGAAGCGUAGUAGUGGAAGAGGUAGUAAGCACCAGCUGCCUCUUUGCUGCUUUGUUUUCCUCCUGAUUGUCUUAAAUUUGGGUUGCAAAGCUAUCCCGCCCCCCACCCUGCCCCAUGAAACUUGAGCAUUCAAAUGAAGAUUCAGCAGUGUCUGUUCUUCAUUUCUAUAGCCAAAGCUGUUAGUUAAAAUCCCAAAUCUAUAGCAUUUAAAGAUACCAAAUAGAAACACCUUCCAGCUUUAAAAAAAAAAAAAAAAAA
rnacentral:sRNA from 1 species